rnacentral:rRNA from 1 species
AACGAACGCUGGCGGCAUGCCUAACACAUGCAAGUCGAACGAGAUCUUCGGGUCUAGUGGCGCACGGGUGCGUAACGCGUGGGAAUCUGCCCUUUGGUUCGGAAUAACAGUUGGAAACGACUGCUAAUCCCGGAUGAUGACGAAAGUCCAAAGAUUUAUCGCCAGAGGAUGAGCCCGCGUAGGAUGAGCUAGUUGGUGUGGUAAAGGAGCACCAAGGCGACGAUCCUUAGCUGGUCUGAGAGGUUGAUCAGCCACAAUGGGACUGAGACACGGCCCAGAAUCCUACGGGAGGCAGCAGUGGGGAAUAUUGGACAAUGGGCGAAAGCCUGAUCCAGCAAUGCCGCGUGAGUGAUGAAGGCCUUAGGGUUGUAAAGCUCUUUUACCCGGGAUGAUAAUGACAGUACCGGGAGAAUAAGCUCCGGCUAACUCCGUGCCAGCCGCCGCAGUAA